rnacentral:misc_RNA from 1 species
UUUCCGUAGGUGAACCUGCGGAAGGAUCAUUACUGAGUUAGGGUCUUUAUGGCCCGACCUCCAACCCUUUGUUUAAUCUACCAUGUUGCUUUGGCAGGCCCGCUUAGAAAUGGGCCGCCGGAGACCUUUGAGUCUCUGGUCAGUGCCUGCCAGUAGCCUUUCUAAACUCAUUUAUAACCGUGUCUGAAUAUACAAAGAAAAAUUAAAAUAAAACUUUCAACAACGGAUCUCUUGGUUCUG